rnacentral:rRNA from 1 species
UACGUAGGGUGCAAGCGUUAAUCGGAAUUACUGGGCGUAAAGCGUGCGCAGGCGGCUUUGCAAGACAGAUGUGAAAUCCCCGGGCUUAACCUGGGAACUGAUUUGUGACUGCAUGGCUGGAGUGCGGCAGAGGGGGAUGGAAUUCCGCGUGUAGCAGUGAAAUGCGUAGAUAUGCGGAGGAACACCGAUGGCGAAGGCAAUCCCCUGGGCCUGCACUGACGCUCAUGCACGAAAGCGUGGGGAGCAAACAGG